AUGCAGUCGAGGGGUAAAGUCUUCGGACUUUGAGACCGGCGCACGGGUGCGUAACGCGUAUGCAAUCUACCUUUUACAGAGGGAUAGCCCAGAGAAAUUUGGAUUAAUACCUCAUAGUAUUAUGAAAUGGCAUCAUUUUAUAAUUAAAGUCACAACGGUAAAAGAUGAGCAUGCGUCCCAUUAGCUAGUUGGUAAGGUAACGGCUUACCAAGGCUACGAUGGGUAGGGGUCCUGAGAGGGAGAUCCCCCACACUGGUACUGAGACACGGACCAGACUCCUACGGGAGGCAGCAGUGAGGAAUAUUGGACAAUGGGCGCAAGCCUGAUCCAGCCAUGCCGCGUGCAGGAUGACGGUCCUAUGGAUUGUAAACUGCUUUUAUACGAGAAGAAACACUCCUUCGUGAAGGAGCUUGACGGUAUCGUAAGAAUAAGGAUCGGCUAACUCCGUGCCAGCAGCCGCGGUAAUACGGAGGAUCCAAGCGUUAUCCGGAAUCAUUGGGUUUAAAGGGUCCGUAGGCGGUUUAAUAAGUCAGUGGUGAAAGCCCAUCGCUCAACGGUGGAACGGCCAUUGAUACUGUUAAGCUUGAAUUAUUAGGAAGUAACUAGAAUAUGUAGUGUAGCGGUGAAAUGCUUAGAGAUUACAUGGAAUACCAAUUGCGAAGGCAGGUUACUACUAAUGGAUUGACGCUGAUGGACGAAAGCGUGGGUAGCGAACAGGAUUAGAUACCCUGGUAGUCCACGCCGUANACGAUGGAUACUAGCUGUUGGGAGCAAUCUCAGUGGCUAAGCGAAAGUGAUAAGUAUCCCACCUGGGGAGUACGUUCGCAAGAAUGAACUCAAAGGAAUUGACGGGGGCCCGCACAAGCGGUGGAGCAUGUGGUUUAAUUCGAUGAUACGCGAGGAACCUUACCAGGCUAAAUGU
rnacentral:rRNA from 1 species